rnacentral:rRNA from 1 species
CACGUAGGGGGCAAGCGUUGUCCGGAUUUAUUGGGCGUAAAGAGCUCGUAGGCGGUUUGUCGCGUCUGCUGUGAAAACCCGAGGCUCAACCUCGGGCCUGCAGUGGGUACGGGCAGACUAGAGUGCGGUAGGGGAGAUUGGAAUUCCUGGUGUAGCGGUGGAAUACGCAGAUAUCAGGAGGAACACCAAUGGCGAAGGCAGAUCUCUGGGCCGUAACUGACGCUGAGGAGCGAAAGCAUGGGGAGCGAACAGG